UACGGGGGGGGUAAGCGUUGUUCGGAAUUACUGGGCGUAAAGGCUCGUAGGCGGCCAACUAAGUCAGACGUGAAAUCCCUCAGCUUAACUGGGGAACUGCGUCUGAUACUGGAUGGCUUGAGUUCGGGAGAGGGAUGCGGAAUUCCAGGUGUAGCGGUGAAAUGCGUAGAUAUCGAGAGGAACACCUGCGGCGAAGGCGGGUUGCUGGGGCUGACACUGACGCUGAGGCGCGAAAGCUAGGGGAGCGAACGGG
rnacentral:rRNA from 1 species